UGGCGAACGGGUGAGUAACACGUGGGUGAUCUGCCUUGCACUCUGGGAUAAGCUUGGGAAACUGGGUCUAAUACCGGAUAGGAACCGUCUUUAGUGUGGUGGUUGGAAAGUUUUUUCGGUGCAAGAUGAGCUCGCGGCCCAUCAGCUUGUUGGUGGGGUAAUGGCCUACCAAGGCGUCGACGGGUAGCCGGCCUGAGAGGGUGUACGGCCACAUUGGGACUGAGAUACGGCCCAG
rnacentral:rRNA from 1 species